rnacentral:rRNA from 1 species
CGGCCGCGUCGACGGCAGGCAAAGCCUGUCGGUGCCGCAGCAAACGCAAUAAGUAUUCCACCUGGGGAGUACGUUCGCAAGAAUGAAACUCAAAAGGAAUUGACGGGGACCCGCACAAGCGGUGGAGCAUGUGGUUUAAUCCGAAGCAAACGCGAAGAACCUUACCAAGUCUUGACAUCCCUCUGACCGUCCCUUAACCGGGGCUUUCCUUCGGGACAGGGGAGACAGGUGGUGCAUGGUUGUCGUCAGCUCGUGUCGUGGGAUGUUGGGUUAAGUCCCGCAACGAGCGCAACCCCUAUCCUUAGUAGCCAGCAGUAAGAUGGGCACUCUGGGGAGACUGCCGGAGACAAAUCCGGAGGAAAGGUGGGGAUGAACGUCAAAAUCAAUCAUCGCCCCUUAUGAUUUGGGACUACACACGUGCUAACAAUGGACGUAAACGAAAAGGGAAGCGACGGAGUGAUCCUGAAGCAAAUCUACAAAAAUAACGUCCAGUUCGGAUUGUAGUCUGACAACUCGACUAACUAUAGAACGUACGUAGGUAACGUACGUACUAGUAAACUCGACGGAUACAACG